CUCAUUCCCUUCGCAUAUCACAGAUUGUUCAGGCAUCUCCUGCUGAGUUGAUUCUUCAGUCUGCAUCUUUUUGGGUGAUGUUGAAUUUGCCAAAGGUUUCUCACCCUUUGCACAUCUACAAUAGUUUGGUGCUGCAUGGUGCAGAAAUGAGCACAGGCAUAUUCCAGCAGAGCACCAAAGAUGAAAGUGAAACAGAUGCCGAGAUAGACAUCUAUAGCCUUAAUGAAGCAGUUGGCAUUGGGAAGCGAGGUCCUGGCUCCCAUCAUUAGUGUGGUCAUGGUGCGAGCUGGAACGGAGGACUGACUGAUCCAAAAAGACACCCAUGACAGAACCACCAGAAGUGUCGAGGGCACGUACGUCUCCAGAAUGAAGAACAGCACAUUUCUACGUAAAGAGAAAUGCAGCACUAGCUUCGGGAUACUUGGUGAGGUCCAUGUUGCAGGCAAUGGUUGCUGUUAUGCUGUGGAGAAAAGGAGGAAUAUUGAUUGAACCAUUUCAGUGGGAAGGUUCCCCAGACGCACAUACAUCUGCAUGGAGCAGCUGUUCAGCCUUUGAAUGCUGCCGGAGAGGGACCAUAGACCUGCUUUAAUCAUAUCCCUGCGGAUAGACUGGCUCUCCAUAAUUGAAGCCGACUCUUCACAUCGUCCUCAAGCUUUAAACCCACACAACAUUGUAAACGGAGGCGCUGGAUUCAAACCGACGGAUAAAUGAAUGUUUGACAGCACAGAGACACACAGGGUGACCAAGAACUGAACUGGCCAAUCAGGAUUCAUCAGGGAAGAUGAUGAAGAGACCACCCCCAUAUCCACAUUUAC